CGGACGGGUGAGUAACGCGUGGGUAACCUGCCUUAUACUGGGGGAUAACAGCCAGAAAUGGCUGCUAAUACCGCAUAAGCGCACGGGGUCGCAUGGUCCUGUGUGAAAAACUCCGGUGGUAUAAGAUGGACCCGCGUUGGAUUAGCUAGUUGGCAGGGCAGCGGCCUACCAAGGCGACGAUCCAUAGCCGGCCUGAGAGGGUGAACGGCCACAUUGGGACUGAGACACGGCCCAG
rnacentral:rRNA from 1 species